UACGUAGGGUGCAAGCGUUAUCCGGAAUUAUUGGGCGUAAAGAGCUCGUAGGCGGUCUGUCGCGUCUGCUGUGAAAUCUGGGGGCUCAACCCCCAGCCUGCAGUGGGUACGGGCAGACUAGAGUGCGGUAGGGGAGAUUGGAACUCCUGGUGUAGCGGUGGAAUGCGCAGAUAUCAGGAAGAACACCGAUGGCGAAGGCAGAUCUCUGGGCCGUAACUGACGC
rnacentral:rRNA from 1 species